rnacentral:snRNA from 1 species
AUUGCGUCUCGGCCUUUUGGCUAAGAUCAAGGGUAACAUCUGUCCUGAUCAGUUUGACAUCUGAUACGUCCUCUAAUGACAACAGAUUACAUGGGUUUGGGAGCAGGGAGAUGGAAUAGGAGCUUGCUGCAUCCACGCCGCACAUCCACUGGGUAUGGCAGUACCUCUGGGAAUGGCACACCCCCU